AAAGUUUUAUUUUUGCUUAAAAAUUUAUUUUUAUUUUAAUUUACAUGAAAAUUUUUGUGAGAAAGUUAUUUAUUUUUAAAAAAAAUAAAUUUAUUAUUUGAUUAUUCUCAGUAAUUAAUUUUAAUAAUUAAAGAAAUUUUGAAUUAGUAAAAAUAUAUAAUAUUGGUUAAAAUUGUGCCAGCAACCGCGGUUAUACAAUAAAUAUAAGUAAAUUAUAUUGGUUUUAGUUAAAUAUUUCGAGGGGAUAAAAAUAAGUUAAAAUUUUUUAGGUGAAAUUUUAAAUUUUAAUUAAUUUUUAUAAUUUUUUUUUAUUUAGGCUGUAAAAAUUUUAUUGUAAACUAGGAUUAGAUACCCUAUUAUAAAAAAAGUAAAAUGUAAAAAUUAGAUGAGUAAUUGAAUAAUCUUGAAAUUUAAUAAAUUUGGCAGUAAUUUAUACUAUUCAGAGGAACUUGCUCUAUAAUUGAUAAUCCUCGUUAAAUCUUACUUAGUUUAAUUUAAAUUUGUAUAUCGUCGUCAUAAGAAUGUCUUAAAAAAGUAAUAAUUUUCUAAAAUUUUUAAUAUAAAUUAUGUCAGAUCAAGGUGCAGUUAAUAAUUAAGAAAGUUAGUGAGUUACAAUAAAUUUAUUUAUAUGGAUAUUAAUUUUAAAAUUUUGAUUGAAAGUGGAUUUGUUAGUAAAAUUAAUUUUAUAAAGAAAAUUUUUUUGAUUAAAGUUCUAAAUUAUGCACAUAUCGCCCGUCACUCUCGUUAAUAAAAUGAGAUAAGUCGUAACAUAGUAGAAGUACUGGAAAGUGUUUCUAGAAUGA
rnacentral:ncRNA from 1 species